rnacentral:rRNA from 1 species
GAUGAACGCUGGCGGCGUGCCUAAUACAUGCAAGUCGAGCGAACAGACGAGGAGCUUGCUCCUCUGACGUUAGCGGCGGACGGGUGAGUAACACGUGGAUAACCUACCUAUAAGACUGGGAUAACUUCGGGAAACCGGAGCUAAUACCGGAUAAUAUAUUGAACGGCAUGGUUCAAUAGUGAAAGACGGUUUUGCUGUCACUUAUAGAUGGAUCCGCGCCGCAUUAGCUAGUUGGUAAGGUAACGGCUUACCAAGGCAACGAUGCGUAGCCGACCUGAGAGGGUGAUCGGCCACACUGGAACUGAGACACGGUCCAGACUCCUACGGGAGGCAGCAGUAGGGAAUCUUCCGCAAAGGGCGAAAGCCUGACGGAGCAACGCCGCGUGAGUGAUGAAGGUCUUCGGAUCGUAAAACUCUGUUAUUAGGGAAGAACAAAUGUGUAAGUAACUAUGCACGUCUUGACGGUACCUAAUCAGAAAGCCACGGCUAACUACGUG